AGCAGGGGAGGGGCCAAGAGAUGGGGAGACACAGAAUCUGAAGCAGGCUCCAGGCACCGAGCGAGAUCAUGACCUGAGCUGAAGUCGGACGCUUAACUGACGGAGCCACCCAGGCACCCCUUGACCUUACAUUUCUAAUACCUUGUAGGUUCUUUUAGAAUUUCUAUGAUUACAAUUUUUCAUCUGUGAAUAAAGAUUGUUUAAGGUCUCGUGAAAUGACUAUACCUUUCAUUUCUUUUUCUUGCUGUCUUUCACUGGCUGGUACAUCUCAUAUAGUGUUGAAUGGAAUAGUGAUAAUGGGUUUCCUCUCUUGGCUAUAACAUCAGAGGGGAAGGCAUUCAAUAGCAAAUGCUUUUUCUGCCUUUACUGAAAUGUUCGUAUCUAUUUUUUCUUUAAAGUGAAUUACUUUGAUUUUCAAGUGUUCUCUAAAUGGCCAAUAUGCAUAGGAAAAGAAGUUCUACAUCAACAGCUAUAUUAGGGACAUUAAAGUCAUACUUUGCUACUAAACACUCACCAGAAUUGUUUAAAAGGAAUUCCAAUACCAAGCCUAGGCAGGGAUAUGGGGCACCUAUAACUGGUGUAUGUUGCUAGUGGGAGUAUAAAUUGCUGUCAUUACUUUAGAAAACUUUUUUUUUUUAAGAUUUAAAAAAAUAAUCUCUACACUCUAACAUGGGACUCGAAUUACAACUCCAAGAGUUACAUGCUCCACAGCCAGGCACCCCUAGAAAACUUUUGACACUAUCUACUAAAGCUAGUCAUACAUAUACCCUGUUACCCAAAAAUUCUACCACUGGGCAUAUCCCCAAGAGAAAAGAGUACUUAGUUUGUGUACAUGAAUAUUGAUUACAGCAUUAUGCACAGGAAAAACUGGAAAUAAAUAUCCUUUGAUAGGAGAAAAAUACUAUAGAGCAAUGAUUGAGAAUAAAUUGCCAAUACACACAACAAAAUGUAGGAACCUCACAUACAUACCUCACAUACAUAAUGUUGAGUUAAAGAAGCCAGGGUACAUCUCGAUUGAUUCCAUUUAUAUGAAGAUAAAAACUAUUGUGAGGGAUACCAGAAAGUGAUCUCCUAGCUGAGAAGAGCCAUGAAGGAAACUUCUUGGAUGCAGGAAAUGUUACAUAUCUUGAACCAGGUGGCAAUUACGCCAAUAUAUUCAGAUGUAAAAUUUUAUUGAGUUGUACACAUAAGAUUUGUACCCUUCAUGCCUCCAUAAAUAGGAGGUAAAGAUUUAAAACAAAACCAGCAACAGUCAGAAUUUGAAAUUUAUGACAUUUACAAUAGCAUCAAAAAUAUUAAAUACUGAAAAAUAAACCUGACAAAGGAUACACAAAAAGUAUACAUUGAGAUUUAUGAAACAUUGCUGAGAGAAAUUAAAGAACACCUAAACAAAUGGAGAUGCAUCUAUGGAGACUUAAUAUUGUUAAAAUGUCAGUUCUUCCCAAAUUGAUCUAUGGAUUCAACAUGAUCCCAAUCAAAAUCCCAAAGGUUUUUUCUGUUUCAGUUGAGAAACUGAUUCUGCAAAUUCAGGUGGAAAUACAUAAUUAGAAUAGUCAAAUCAACUUUGAAAAAUAACAAAGCUGGAGAACUAACACUACUGAUUUCAACACACCAACCUUUGUAUGUAUUGGCACAAAGAUCAAUAGAACAGAAUAGAGUCCAUAAAUUCACCUGUACAUAUACGACAAGUGAUUUUCAACAAAGGUCCAAAGAUAACUCAGGGAAGAUAGUUGAAAAGGAUAGUCUUUUGAUACUUUUUAAUUGAAAGGGACAGUGUUUUCAACAAAUUGAAUAUACAAAAGCAAAAAAAGUGAACAUCCAAUACAUACCUUGCAUCAUCUAUAAAAACUAACUCAAAAUGGAUCAUGGGCCCAAAUGUAAAAUUUAAAACUAUAAAACGUCUAGAAGGAAGAAAACCUUAGUGACCUGGGAUUAGGCGAAGAUUUGUUAAAUAUGACACUAACAGCAUGACCCUUAAGAAGUUGAUAAAUCAGACUUUACCAAAAUUAAAAGGUUUCUGCACUUUAAAAAUACUUGCGAAUCAUAUAGCUGAUGAAGAACUUGCAUCCAGAGUACAUAAAGAGUUCUCAAAAAUCAGUAAUAAGAAAGCAACAGAAUUUUUGAUGGACAACAAAUUUUAACAAUCAUUUCAUCAAAGAAAAUAUAUGGAUGUCACAUGAGCACAUCAAAAGAUGCUCAAAAUCAGGGGCACCUGGAUGCAGGAGCACUUGUAUCGCAACCAAACUCCUGGGGCAGCACAGACAGUGAUACAAAGCCUAGUGUUUAGUGCUUGGCAACAGUGGCUACAAUUUCUCUACAAAAUCACUUGUGCAGUUUUUUCCUAGCUGUUUGACUCAGAUUGACCCCGAUUCUCUAGUCCUUUUGUCUAUUCUAUGAACUAUACAAUAUUCUUAUAAUAAAAUUUCUUUAUGCUGAAAACCAGAAUCCAUCUCUAUUGCUAAGGACCCAGAACUCAAACUGGAAGACAAUUUGGUAUUUGGAAGUGGAAUUCUCCAAAACUGACCCUGGUAUGUUGUAUAACUCACCGGGUAUGUAUAAAAGGCAGGAUGAAAGGUACUGAGGAUACAACUAUUCCAGGAUGGGAAAAUGGUGACCCUGUGACAGGGCAUCAAACUUAUAUCAUCAAAUGGUGUGUUCUAAAGCUGACUCUGGAAAGAGUAUCCUGAGUGCUCAUACUGGAUGUGGCUGUGGAGGACAAGAAACCAGGGGGACACAGCUGAUCUGAAAAAGACGACUGCGUACGAUCUCAAACAUCCCGGGCAUGAAACUGGAUCGGGCAACAGGAUGGGACUUUGAUCUCUCUUUGGGAGAGAAAUACAGGUUUUAUGUAGGCAUGAGCAUUUUUGAAAGUGUCUGUAAAGAAAGAUGCGUGUGGGUGAUGGUAGGCCACACCAUUCUCCCUCAUUUCUUGCUGGAGAGCCCCGAUUUUGUUUGGCACCAUACACAUCUAAGUCAUUCAUGGUAACCCUACUUCCUUGACUAGCAAUUUGUUUAGGAAGGGGUAUAUGACAAAUCUAGCCAACGAGCUCUGAAGAGACAGCUGUUCAGGGUAUUCUGGGAAAGAUCUUCUGACAAACAGAAAACUAGAAGGAACUACUGCAGCUAUCUGGCAAGUAUGGCAGAAGCCAUCCUGGAAACUAAAGCAAAAUGCUGAGGAUGGGAAAGCAGAGAGGAAAGAAACCUGGUUACUAUCACCUGAGUUCCUGAAUUAACUAACCUGGAAACCUAACUCCAGACGUCUUAUUUUGUACUAUUUAAUAAUUUUAAAUUGCGUUUUUGUUUCAUGCAACUGAAAGCACCCCAAUCCGAACUGACAGGAUUUGGAGAGUGAUAUUUGAAGAUAAGGCUGGUGGGACCAAGAAGAGAGCUUGGCAAUCCACAUGUGCCACGUAGAAGCAGCCGUCUGGCAUAGCAGAAAGGAAAACUGAGAGGAGGAACUGCAUUCAGCAAUUCUAAUCUGACCAAUGGAGCUUAUUAUACGAAUACUUAAUAGCAUUGCAAAUACCAACAACAUUUUCUGUAUACCUCUUCUUAAGAAAUAUUUGCUUGAAAACACAAACACUGAGAAUUUUUACAUGAUUUAUUUAAUAAUAAACCAAUUAAAGAUACAAAAACGUUUAGAGGCUUCCAAAAUUUAAAUUUUUGCUUAAAUACAAAUUCACUCUGUAAUAUGAAAACACAGAACAAGAGACCUCUAAACAUGAUUUUUUUUCAUCUACAAAAGUUUCUCCUUUGCUGUACUAGAAAAUUUGCAGAAAACAAUUUUUCUUGUGAAAUUAAAUGUACAUUAUUUACAGUUGAAAAGUAAUCUAAAAACUAUUUCAUUUCCGAGACUCAGAUAUAUAUGUAUAUUAUCUUUGUACGCAACCCCCCCAACUCCCAAUAAAAAAAUGAUCCAAAAUAUAAAGCAAUUAUGCUUUUAUAGCAACUGACUACUCAGCCAGAUGAGCCCAAGGUGUGGUUGCUUUCUGGGCCCUUAAGAAAGAGCCUUGACUCUUUCAGAAUGGCAGUACAUCAUUUAGCACUCAGCAAUGUAAGUUUACUGAUGGGCCACGGUACACAGUGGCCUAAAAAGUUAAUGAACACAGUAUUUAGGAAGAAUUCAGAUUCAUAGCAGAUCUUACAGAUAACAGAAGAAUGAAUUUUG